rnacentral:rRNA from 1 species
UACGUAGGGCGCAAGCGUUGUCCGGAAUUAUUGGGCGUAAAGAGCUCGUAGGCGGCUUGUCACGUCGGGUGUGAAAGCCCCGGGGCUUAACCCCGGGUCUGCAUUCGAUACGGGCUAGCUAGAGUGUGGUAGGGGAGAUCGGAAUUCCUGGUGUAGCGGUGAAAUGCGCAGAUAUCAGGAGGAACACCGGUGGCGAAGGCGGAUCUCUGGCCAUUACUGACGCUGAGGAGCGAAAGCGUGGGGGAGCGAACAGG